UCCUGGGUAGUUUAUUUAGAACAUGACGUUGAAGCCGUCAGGGUGGAGGGAAGCGACUCCUCCGGGUA
rnacentral:tRNA from 1 species